rnacentral:lncRNA from 1 species
AUGAGAGGAGUUGUGCGUUGUGCAAGGAAGAGGCUACACAGCCUAGAAAGGAGGGACCUCCAAUGGCAACCCCCUGCUAAAUGUCCCAGAAUGGAGAAACACGUGCAGCUGGGGAGGAAGAGGAAGCACAGCCAAGACAGGAGGGACCUCCAGUGGCAACCCCCCGCUAAACGUCCAAGGAUGGAUGAACACCUAGCAGUGGAAGGGAGCACCAUUAAGAAAUGGGUGCAUAACCAUCAGGUGCGCCCCAGGAGGAACAACUUCCAUCCAAUGCGUGGAGGCCAACCCAACAAGUGGGUGCGGAACAUCAAGGUGCCUCCUGCACAAGACAACACGCGGCCUGUGAGCAGGUACCCACCCAAAGAAUGGGGGCAGACCAGCAGGGUACCGGCUCUGGAAGACAACUUCCACAGAAGGCACGGGGGCCCACCAACCAAAUGGGUGCAAACUAUCAAGGGGACACCUGCAGAAGACAACACCCAGUCCCUGAGACAGCCAAGGCACGGCAGCCGGCCAAAUGAAAGGGUGCAGACCACCAUGGUGCCACCUGUAGGAGAAAACAGCCAGCCCAGGAACAGCUGCCAACCACAAAAAUGGGUGCACACCAGCAAGAUGCCACCAUUGCAGCAAAAGGUCCAGGUCGCGAACAGGGACCCCCACAAAAAAUGGGUGAGGACCAACAAGGUGCCACCAGCGCAAGUAAACAUCCAGCCCACAAAAUGGGAUCCAUCAAAAAAAUGGGUGAAGACCAUCAUGGUGACACCUGACAGGCAAGACUACAUCCAGCCCACACAUGGGGACCCUGAGAAAAAAUGGGGGAGGACAGGCAACAUAUCACCCUCAAAGGACAAUGGCCAUACCAUGAACAGGGACUGGCUGAAACAGCGCGUGCAGCCUGUGCAGGUGCCACCCACAGAGGACGAUGUCCUGCCCAUGGACGUGGACUCUCCAGAAGGUGAGAUCCAGCCAAGGCAGGUGACGCCACCUCCAGAAAGGCUGGCAAGGCCUCGCUACGAUGCCAGGCCUGGGAGGCGUGCAAGGAAUCACCACUCAGGCCAUUCCUGGAGGCCGUGGCGUGACACAGAGCCUCAGGCUGGGCCCAGCUCCUUGCCCAUGGCUCAGCACCCCGACAGCAGGCAGACACCAGAGCCGCCAAGAUGGGUGUCCCACAGGUGGAGGAAGUGGAUACGGCGUAGCGCAGCCGGCCUGCGUUCGUCUCCUGGCCACCAAGAACAGUGA